UACGUAGGGUGCAAGCGUUGUCCGGAAUUAUUGGGCGUAAAGAGCUCGUAGGCGGUCUGUCGCGUCUGCUGUGAAAACUCAGGGCUUAACCCUGAGCUUGCAGUGGGUACGGGCAGACUAGAGUGCGGUAGGGGAGACUGGAAUUCCUGGUGUAGCGGUGAAAUGCGCAGAUAUCAGGAGGAACACCGGUGGGCCGAAGGCGGGGUCUCUGGGCCGUAACUGACGC
rnacentral:rRNA from 1 species